rnacentral:rRNA from 1 species
UGGGAUAAGCGCUGGAAACGGCGUCUAAUACCGGAUACGAGCUGCGAAGGCAUCUUCAGCAGCUGGAAAGAAUUUCGGUCAGGGAUGAGCUCGCGGCCUAUCAGCUUGUUGGUGAGGUAAUGGCUCACCAAGGCGUCGACGGGUAGCCGGCCUGAGAGGGUGACCGGCCACACUGGGACUGAGACGCGGCCCAGACUCCUACGGGAGGCAGCAGUGGGGAAUAUUGCACAAUGGGCGAAAGCCUGAUGCAGCAACGCCGCGUGAGGGAUGACGGCCUUCGGGUUGUAAACCUCUUUUAGCAAGGAAGAAGCGAAAGUGACGGUACUUGCAGAAAAAGCGCCGGCUAACUACGUGCCAGCAGCCGCGGUAAUACGUAGGGCGCAAGCGUUAUCCGGAAUUAUUGGGCGUAAAGAGCUCGUAGGCGGUCUGUCGCGUCUGCUGUGAAAACCCGAGGCUCAACCUCGGGCCUGCAGUGGGUACGGGCAGACUAGAGUGCGGUAGGGGAGAUUGGAAUUCCUGGUGUAGCGGUGGAAUGCGCAGAUAUCAGGAGGAACACCGAUGGCGAAGGCAGAUCUCUGGGCCGUAACUGACGCUGAGGAGCGAAAGGGUGGGGAGCAAACAGGCUUAGAUACCCUGGUAGUCCACCCCGUAAACGUUGGGAACUAGUUGUGGGGUCCAUUCCACGGAUUCCGUGACGCAGCUAACGCAU